CUACGGAACUCCUACGGGAGGCAGCAGUGGGGAAUAUUGCACAAUGGGCGCAAGCCUGAUGCAGCCAUGCCGCGUGUAUGAAGAAGGCCUUCGGGUUGUAAAGUACUUUCAGCGGGGAGGAAGGCGAUGCGGUUAAUAACCGCGUCGAUUGACGUUACCCGCAGAAGAAGCACCGGCUAACUCCGUGCCAGCAGCCGCGGUAAUACGGAGGGUGCAAGCGUUAAUCGGGAUUACUGGGCGUAAAGCGCACGCAGGCGGUCUGUUAAGUCAGAUGUGAAAUCCCCGGGCUUAACCUGGGAACUGCAUUUGAAACUGGCAGGCUUGAGUCUUGUAGAGGGGGGUAGAAUUCCAGGUGUAGCGGUGAAAUGCGUAGAGAUCUGGAGGAAUACCGGUGGCGAAGGCGGCCCCCUGGACAAAGACUGACGCUCAGGUGCGAAAGCGUGGGGAGCAAACAGGAUUAGAUACCCGUGUAGUCCUCUUCGA
rnacentral:rRNA from 1 species